AGGGCUGCAAGGAAAUCUGGAGCUGUUCAAUAUCUCGCCUAGUCUGCAUUUUGAGCUACUGAUAUUUGCUGACAGAACUAAUGGCUGAAUUCCUAUCGGUGAGGCCAGGGAGCAUGACGACUGGCAAACAGAGGGAAAGAGAGAGAGAAAGCUGCAACUUCUUUACACUUAAGGGAAGUUAUCCUUCCUUUUACAACAACUACAACUGGUUUUGUUUGUGUGUGUGACAGCAACGUGGCUGAUGUAAUGCACCUCAACCGGACUUAAUCUCCUCUUUGUUAGGAAAUCGCUCCUAUCCAACAAAGACUGACUGAUGUCUGCCCCACUACCAGAAGGAAAUCUUUUACACUUUCUGGGUAACUUCAGUUCAAUGUCUUCGGGGUCAAGCUUCGUACUGGCUGCAAUAGGAGAAGCCGCUGGUUGAUUACUACAGGAAAAGGCAACCCUGAAGAGAUGGGGACAAUUUCACUCGCCCAGUAGAAUGACCAUGAAAGUGCUAUGUGAUGGGGUACUCCCCAUCCCUGUGCAUAUUAUGUUUUGUAUUUUUAUGUAUUAUGUUUGGCAGGACGAGCGAUGUGCCGUCCACCAUUGUUUGUUGUUGUUUUAGAUUUUAAAUACCUCUCGUGAGAAUGCGUGACAUUCGGCUAGUAAUUAUUGAAUUAGUUGACAGUCACGCAGAUUUAUUGAACUCGUGCAGAUUAUGGCCGAGGGGUUAAUAAGAUCAUUAAUAGCCAGUUAAUCCCUCGGCCAUAAUAUAAAAAACCGGCAGCUUUGGCUGCACGGGGUUGAGUGUUCAGGAAGUGGAUUACUGGAGUGAGAGAGAGAGGAAGUAAAACAAUAAUUAAAAGAAAACAAUUGCUACUCAUGCUGGAACAACUAGCAUGAUAUUUGUUAUCAUUAUUGUUUGUUUGUUUUGGCCCUCGUGCCGUUUGCUUUCUGAAAGUCUUGUGUUUUGUUUAAACCUUUUAUUUUGAAAUAAACGGGCCGCAGCGCUUUUCAUACCCCAGGUCGGCUGC